AUUGAACGCUGGCGGCAUGCCUUACACAUGCAAGUCGAACGGCAGCACGGGGCAACCUGGUGGCGAGUGGCGAACGGGUGAGUAAUGCAUCGGAACGUACCUUUCAGUGGGGGAUAACGUAGCGAAAGUUACGCUAAUACCGCAUAUUCUGUGAGCAGGAAAGCAGGGGAUCGCAAGACCUUGCGCUGAUUGAGCGGCCGAUGUCAGAUUAGCUAGUUGGUGAGGUAAAGGCUCACCAAGGCGACGAUCUGUAGCGGGUCUGAGAGGAUGGUGCGCCACACUGGAACUGAGACACGGUCCAGACUCCUACGGGAGGCAGCAGUGGGGAAUUUUGGACAAUGGGGGCAACCCUGAUCCAGCCAUGCCGCGUGAGUGAAGAAGGCCUCCGGGUUGUAAAGCUCUUUCGGCCGGGAAGAAAUCGCACGGGCUAAUACCCUGUGUGGAUGACGGUACCGGAAUAAGAAGCACCGGCUAACUACGUGCCAGCCGCCGCGGUAACAC
rnacentral:rRNA from 1 species